AACGAACGCUGGCGGCAGGCUUAACACAUGCAAGUCGAACGCCCCGCAAGGGGAGUGGCAGACGGGUGAGUAACGCGUGGGAAUCUACCUAGUUCUACGGAACAACAGUUGGAAACGACUGCUAAUACCGUAUACGCCCUACGGGGGGAAAGAUUUAUCGGAAUUAGAUGAGCCCGCGUAAGAUUAGCUAGUUGGUGAGG
rnacentral:rRNA from 1 species